CCCAGAACUAGUAAGUGAGCUAGCAAAGUUACAGGAUACGUUGUCAUAUACAAAAGUCAGUUGUAUCCUAUGUACUAUCUAUGAACAAUCAGAAUUUGAAAUUUUAAAAUAUAACAUCUACAAUAUUGCCAAAAAUGAAGUACUUAGGGGUGUGUGUGUGUGUAUACAUAAAUAUGUGUGAGAUCUAUAUGCUGAAAAAUUUAAAAAAGAAAAAUAAAAGAUCAUCUAAAUUAAGCUUGUCCAACCCACAGCCUGCGGGCCACAUGCAGCCCAGGAUGGCUUUCAGUGUGGCCCAACACAAAUUCGUAAACUUUCUUAAAACAUUGUGAGAUGUUUUUGUGAUUUAUUUUUUUUGGCUCAUCGGCUAUCAUUAUUGUUAGCGUAUUUUAUGUGUGGCCCAGUACAAUUCUUCUUCCAAUGUGGCCCAGGGAAGCCAAAAGAUUGGACGGACACCCCUGAUCUAAAUAAAUGGAAAGACAGAC
rnacentral:lncRNA from 1 species